CGGCUUCCAGGCUGCUCACCUGGGGCUCUGUGGGCACGGGGGCUGCUUCUGAAAGCUGGGCCGCUGCUUUGCUUUGCUUUGCUUCUUCGUCAACCUGAUAAUCACCUCGCUCCAUGAGAGGCAUCUUUUCAAGGAUGGCUGCCCUGAGGAUGGAAUGCAGGACAGAGGCUGGUCCUACGCUGCAGUGGAGUGCCAGACGCACCUCAUGUGGUCGUACUUCCGGAAGAGUGUGUCAUACUCCACGGCCCGCUGCUGCAGCUCCACGUCCAGGCAGCUCCCGUAGAUGGACACCACCUGGCGGAUGCGGCUGAGCCGGUGUGCUGUGAGUGGCAAUGGCAUGUGCCCCACCCCACACCGGGCUGAAGCAGGGCAGGGGGAGGCCCUGAAGCAAGGACAUACCCCAGGUGUGCACACAGGAGUGAUCCCGGGGCCAGCCCUGCCUGCCUGAGUCCGAGUCCUUCAGCAUACCCCCGCCGUGGCUCUCACCUGAAGGGGCUCAAUGUCCUCACAGUUGCCUUCCAGCAGGAGGUCCCCAUACUCCCCG